UACAGAGGGGGCAAGCGUUGUUCGGAAUUACUGGGCGUAAAGGGCGCGUAGGCGGCUUACCAAGUCAGGCGUGAAAUUCCCGGGCUCAACCUGGGGGCUGCGCUUGAUACUGGUGAGCUUGAAUGCGGGAGAGGAUAGUGGAAUUCCCAGUGUAGAGGUGAAAUUCGUAGAUAUUGGGAAGAACACCGGUGGCGAAGGCGGCUAUCUGGCCCGUAAUUGACGCUGAGGCGCGAAAGCGUGGGGAGCAAACAGG
rnacentral:rRNA from 1 species